ACCUCGGUUGUGUAGUGGUAGCACGCGUCUCUGGUAUGGAUGUAACGCGGGUUCGACUCCAGUCUGAGGUC